UAGGAUGUGGUGUAAUGGGAGCACAAAGGGUUUUGAGUUCUUUGGUAUAGGUUCUAGUCCUGUUAUCCUAG
rfam:Sarcophilus harrisii ctg7180001395912, whole genome shotgun sequence.